rnacentral:rRNA from 1 species
CAAAAUAAUCUAGUUAUAUAAGUUCGGUAAAAAGAUAGUUAGAUAAAUUUGUAGGCAGUUUGUAGAUUUUUUAAUUUAUAGGUAAAAUUUAAAUAUGAAAGAAUAUUUUAAUGCGAGCUGAUGAUAUUGAAGCUGUGACGAUUUAGAUAUAAACUAGGAUUAGAUGCCCUAUUAUACUAAAUGGUAAAUAGAUAUGUAAUUAUACCAGAGUACUACGGGUUGUAGGCUUAAAACUCAAAGGGCUUGGCGGUACUUUAUACUUUUCAGGGGAACCUGUCUCGUAAUCGAUAAUCCGCGUUAUACCUUACCUUUAUUUGAAGUUUGAUGAACAGUUUGUAUACCGUCGUCGUCAGGUAACUUUUAAGAUGGAAGAAGUUAGCGAGAGAGAUAUUUGUCUUAGACGUCAGAUCAAGGUGCAGCUGAUAUAAGGGAGAGGAUGGGUUACAAUUAUAGAUAUAUAAUUACGAAUUAAGAAGUUAAAUGUUCUUUUUGAAGGAGGACUUGAAAGUAAAGAUUUGUAUAUAAAUUUUUUGAAUUUGGCUCUGAAGUGUGCACACAU